ACGUAGGGUGCGAGCGUUAAUCGGAAUUACUGGGCGUAAAGCGUGCGCAGGCGGUGAUGUAAGACAGAUGUGAAAUCCCCGGGCUCAACCUGGGAACUGCGUUUGUGACUGCAUCACUUGAGUACGGCAGAGGGAGGUGGAAUUCCGCGUGUAGCAGUGAAAUGCGUAGAUAUCCGGAGGAACCCCGGUGGCGAAGGCGACAUGCUGGGCCUGAACUGACGCUCAGACGCGAGAGCAUGGGGAGCGAACGG
rnacentral:rRNA from 1 species